GCCGGGGGAGCUCGGCGGCCGCCGUCUUACGACAGAUCCUGGAAAGAGGAUCAAGGUGGGGCCCGCCCCGCCGCGCACCGCCGGCAACCGACGGGGCGGCCCGGGCUCGGCCGCUGGGAGCACGGCGGAGAGCUGCAGGCGGCGAGGCCCGGAGCGGCGAGCUCCAUCCAGCGCGGCAUUAGGGCUGCAGAACAGCACUGCCCCGGGUCUGCAGGAGAGCGCUGAGAAAACAAAGGCAGCCCAAACAAAUCACCGCUGCCCGCAGCAGUGACAGCGCGCAGUGCUGCACCUGUCCUCACACUGCUCUCAGUCGCUGGGACCCAACGCCGCGUGGACAGCCAUCCAUCAUUGCUCUGAUUCACAUCUCCAGAGAGCAGCGCUGCCCUGAGCCGCUCUGCAUUUCCCCUCCAUGCUGAAACCCUUUCCUCGGUCCGUCUGUCCUUCCCACUUGCCAUCUGUCUCCCAUCCUUCAAAUAUCACCUUAAAAACAGUCCCUCC
rnacentral:lncRNA from 1 species